CCUACGGGAGGCAGCAGUGAGGAAUAUUGGUCAAUGGACGAGAGUCUGAACCAGCCAAGUAGCGUGAAGGAUGACUGCCCUAUGGGUUGUAAACUUCUUUUAUAUGGGAAUAAAAUGUUCCACGUGUGGGAUUUUGUAUGUACCAUAUGAAUAAGGAUCGGCUAACUCCGUGCCAGCAGCCGCGGUAAUACGGAGGAUCCGAGCGUUAUCCGGAUUUAUUGGGUUUAAAGGGAGCGUAGGUGGGUUGUUAAGUCAGUUGUGAAAGUUUGCGGCUCAACCGUAAAAUUGCAGUUGAAACUGGCAGUCUUGAGUACAGUAGAGGUAGGCGGAAUUCGUGGUGUAGCGGUGAAAUGCUUAGAUAUCACGAAGAACUCCGAUUGCGAAGGCAGUUCACUAAACUGCGACUGACACUGAGGCUCGAAAGUGUGGGUAUCAAACAGGAUUAGAUACCCUUGUAGUC
rnacentral:rRNA from 1 species